AGCGAACGCUGGCGGCGUGCUUAACACAUGCAAGUCGAGUGCGUAGCCCUUUGUAGCAAUACAGAGGGUGGGCGCACGGCGCACGGGUGAGUAACACGUGGGUAACCUGCCCUUCGGUGGGGAAUAACCCCGCGAAGCGGGGCGUAAUUCCGCAUAACAUUCCGGGGACACAUGUUCUCGGACUCAAAGGAGUGAUUCGCCGGAGGAGGGGCCCGCGCCCGAUUAGCUUGUUGGUAGGGUAACGGCCUACCAAGGCUUUGAUCGGUAGCCGGUCUGAGAGGAUGGCCGGCCACACUGGAACUGAGACACGGUCCAGACUCCUACGGGAGGCAGCAGUGGGGAAUCUUGCGCAAUGGGCGAAAGCCUGACGCAGCGACGCCGCGUGGGGA
rnacentral:rRNA from 1 species